rnacentral:rRNA from 1 species
UACGAAGGGGGCUAGCGUUGUUCGGAUUUACUGGGCGUAAAGGGCGCGUAGGCGGCCUCUGCAAGUCGACUGUGAAAUCUCCGGGCUUAACCCGGAACGGUCAGCCGAUACUGCAGGGCUAGAGUGCAGAAGGGGCAACUGGAAUUCUCGGUGUAGCGGUGAAAUGCGUAGAUAUCGAGAGGAACACCUGCGGCGAAGGCGGGUUGCUGGGCUGACACUGACGCUGACAGCGCGAAAGCUAGGGGAGCGAACGGG